UUGACGGGACCGCACAAGCGGUGGAUGAUGUGAUUAAUUCGAUGCAACGCGAAGAACCUUACCUACCUUGACACGUCCGGAACUUGCCAGAGAUGGCUUGGUGCCCGAAAGGGAAUCGGAACACAGGUGCUGCAUGGCUGUCGUCAGCUCGUGUCGUGAGAUGUUGGGUUAAGUCCCGCAACGAGCGCAACCCUUAUCAUUAGUUGCUACGCAAGGGCACUCUAAUGAGACUGCCGGUGACAAACCGGAGGAAGGUGGGGAUGACGUCAAGUCCUCAUGGCCCUUAUGGGUAGGGUUUCACACGUCAUACAAUGGUCGGUACAGAGGGUUGCCAAGCCGCGAGGCGGAGCCAAUCCCACAAAGCCGAUCGUAGUCCGGAUUGUUCUCUGCAACUCGAGAGCAUGAAGUCGGAAUCGCUAGUAAUCGCAGGUCAGCAUACUGCGGUGAAUACGUUCCCGGGUCUU
rnacentral:rRNA from 1 species